ACUCCUGGUCCUGGGCUUGGGGUCCCAGGUGCCCUGAGGGACAGGGACCUGACCUGGCUAAAGGUGCUUCGUGUCCUUAUGCUCUUGCACCAGAGUCAACCACCCACUAAGCUCCAUGACCCCAACCCCAGGACGGGGUCAAUCGGGGCCUCCCACCUGGCCUCUGCCCCUGCACCAUCGUCCGACCUGCAGGGCCCAGGAGGGCUGUGUGCCCCCGCCGGGGGCCUUGGCUUCUCCGUGUGCAGCAGCCAGUGUCCCCUGGUUCUGUGCUCACAUCGGGCCUGUUUCUGCACCACAGCAAGCUGGGGUGGGGAUGGAUGCGUGGACGGCAUCUGGGGCACCUGGGUGAGCCCAGUGUGACAGAGGAGCUGUAGUCUAGUCUGGAAGGGUGGGACACACAUGACAUUUAAAGCCACUCCCACCUCAACACACACACACACACACACUGCUGAUCAUGCUGGGCUCCGAAUCCAGAUUCUGAGUGGGGACAAGGCCCAGAAGCUUUGAGAACACAGCAGCACUGUAGGGUCUAGUCCAGGUGCUGGUGAAAAGGAGACCAGGGUCCCAGUGGCUCACAAGCCUUCUGCAGUAGGCGUGCCAGCCCCAAAGGUUAAGCCCUGAGCCAGGGCCCUGGGCCUGAGCUGUCAUGGCUGCCCCGGGGAGCCUGGGGCAGGGGGCUGGCAGCCACGUGGCCUUGGCGCCUGGAGUCACUGCACGCUGACUCUCUUCCCCAAGCUGGGUCGGGACCCCCUCCUCAUUCAGGAAACCCAUGGCACCACCCGUGCCAGCCGGCCACUGCGCAGUGGGGAUGAACAAGAUAGGCACAGGCCUGCGUUCUUGGGGCAGCUACACCCAAACCGAGGCGUGCGCCAGUAAAUGAGCUGGUGACCAUCCUGCAGGUCCAGAGGGGUCAGCUGAGCCGCUGCUGUAGAGUGGGGAGGUGGGGGGUCUCCACGACCCUGCUGACUGGCGAAUGGGAGCAGCCCUGGAGUGAAGGCAGCCUUGGGAAGAAUUACCUGGAGGACUGAUAAUAGAAGAGAUAUAAGUAUCUCACCAGAAAUAGCAUCUUGAGACCACUUUACAGGCCCGGCCCUCUCAGCUGGACAGAGGCUCUGCAAGGUCCUUCCAAAGUGCCCCAGCCUAUCCGGCCUGCUGCCCAGCCUGACACCCACAGCUUCUCCUGCACUGGCCGCUGCGUCCCUGCCGGGCCCUGCUCUGCCCGGCCUUCUGCCUGCUGAGACCACGGCAGGGGUGUCCAGGACAGGCCGCCCGAGGGGCUUCCUCUCCCUGGGUGCAGAUGGCAUAUGGGAGCCCAGACGCAGCACGUUCCAUCCCAUGGGUGGGGCUGUGGCCUGAACAGCCCACUCCCCAGGCAGCACUGGUUGUUGUGGGACUCUGGCUGGGGACUCUGAGCAGAGAGCAAGGGAGGCCUGGGGGCGUGUGUGUGUGUGUGUGUGUCGCCAAGUGGGGUCCUCAACUUUGGAAACUCUCCACGAUGUGCCCUGCACUUGGAAAUAGGACCAAGUUCUAGGGGGUCCUGCCCCAGUACUCCCCCUGGCACUCCACCCCUGUGGCCCCCCGGCAGCCCCUGCCCCUUGCCCUCGCUGAGGGGCUCCUCUGUGACCCUCUGUCACCACUCCUCCCCUCGUGCUGGUCCCCGGGCACCCACUGGGGUGCUGUCGGGCACUGGGGAGAAUUUAUAGAGAUGGAGUCGGCGCGUGCUCCUCAUCCGGCCUGGCGGGCUCAGCAUGUUGGCAGGACUGGCGCUCCUGUCUCUACCAGGGUGCUCCUUGCCUAGGGCCGCUGUAGCCAAGCACCGCAUACUCGGUGCCCCAGAACAGCAGGAACACAUCCCUUUGCGUUCUGGAGCUCAGAAGUCUGACGCAGUUUCCCCGGGCCAGGUUCCAGGUGAGGCAGGACAGCGCCCCUCAGGGGCUGUACGGGAAACCCCACGCCGGCUUUUCCCACACUCUUGGCUCCUGGCCUGCUUCCACCUUCAAAGGCGGCCCCUGUGGUCAGCCUGCCUGCACCCUCUGAUCUGCCCCAGGCCCGUGGCCUCGGGCCCUCCUGCCACAGCUUCCUCCCGAAACACCCCGGAAUUACAUCGCUCACUUGGACAGGCGUGGAUCGCGGGGUCCUGUGGGGUGCAGGAACCCCUUAAAGACACGCCAUGGCACCACGAAGCCCUGGGAAAGCUCUCCUCUCCAGGUGUGAGGAUCCCGGUCGCUCCACGCUGCCCUUCCCUGACACCCCGGACUUGGUAUUUUUUAGGCCAUUCUGAUCGCUGUUCUGUGCUAUCUCAGUGGUUUUAAUUUGCAUUUCCCAAAUGAUUUAUGAAUUUGGACAUCUUUUCCCACACGCACUGCCUACCUGUGUCUCUUCUUGGUGAAAGUAGCCAUCCAGAUUUUAUCCCCAUGCCUUUAUUGGGUUGUUUGUCUUCAUAUUGAGUGGGAAGAGUUCCUUCUAUAUUCCAGAUAUACGUCCUUUGGUUUUUGCAGAAAAUAUAUGUUUUGCAAAUAUUUUCUCCCAGUCUGAUUUGUCUGUUCAUUGUUUUGACAGUGUCUUUCAAAGAGAAAUAAAAACAGAAACAAAAAAACAGGACUUUAUGAAAUCACAUUUACGGACUGUUUUUAAUACUCUGUCUUUCUAAUGUUGUAUUUAAUAAACCUUUGCUGAAGUCCAGAUGGGUAAGGUUUUUCACCUCUGUUUCCUCCUAGAAGUUUUAUAGUUCAACCUCUGACAUGAGGUCUAUCAUCCAUUUUGAAUUAACUUUUGUUUAUGAUGUGAGGUAACGAUUGAUGUUGAUUUUCACAACUAUCCAAUUCUUCCAGCACCCUUGGUUUAAAAUGUUAUUCUUUCUCCACUGAAUCACCUUGGCAACUUAGUUGAAAAUCAGUUGUCCGUGUAUGUGGGUCCAGUUCUGGGCUCUGCACUGAUCCCCUUGUCCGUCUGUCUAUCUUUACACUGAUCCCACAUGAUCUCAGCUUUUACUGAGGCUUUGUUAUGGGUUCUGAGGUCAGAUAGGGUAAGUC